AAGUCGUAACAAGGUUUCCGUAGGUGAACCUGCGGAAGGAUCAUUAUUGAAUGUAUUCCAUUCCAUGUCAGUGAAACGUAGUUGUUGUGGUGACAAUCUCUGGUCGUCCAUUUCGGUGGGCGCCUGGGUCGUCACCGCCAGUUAUCCAUGUUGAUUAACUCUGAGUCUGAACUUUAUAUAACAAUAUAAAGACAACUUUUAGCAACGGAUCUCUUGGCUCUCGCAACGA
rnacentral:misc_RNA from 1 species